AGGACGAACGCUGGCGGCGUGCCUAACACAUGCAAGUCGAACGAGGUCCAUCCGGUAGCAAUACUGGUGAAGAUCAAGUGGCGAACGGGUGAGUAGCACGUGAGCAACCUGCCCCGAAGACCGGGACAACACCGGGAAACCGGUGCUAAUACCGGAUAUCCCCACCGAGUCGCAUGGCUUGGUGAGGAAAUGGAUUCCGCUUCGGGAGGGGCUCGCGGCCUAUCAGCUUGUUGGUGAGGUAAUGGCUCACCAAGGCUUCGACGGGUAGCUGGUCUGAGAGGACGAUCAGCCACACUGGGACUGAGACACGGCCCAGACUCCUACGGGAGGCAGCAGUGGGGAAUCUUGCACAAUGGGCGAAAGCCUGAUGCAGCAACGCCGCGUGAGGGACGAAGGCUUUCUGAGUUGUAAACCUCUUUCAGCAGGGACGAUUGUGACGGUACCUGCAGAAGAACGCCCGGCAACUACGUGCCAGCAGCCGCGGUAAU
rnacentral:rRNA from 1 species